GGGGCAACCCUUAGUAGAGCGGCGGACGGGUGAGUAACACGUGGGUAAUCUGCCUAGGAGCGGGGGAUAACCUGGGGAAACUCGGGCUAAUACCGCAUACGAUCAUGGGGCCUCGGCCCUGUGCUGAAAGGUGGCCUCUGCUUGCAAGCUACCACUCCUAGAGGAGCCCGCGCCUGAUUAGCUAGUUGGUGGGGUAAUGGCCUACCAAGGCGACGAUCAGUAGCCGGCCUGAGAGGGCGAUCGGCCACACUGGAACUGAGACACGGUCCAGACUCCUACGGGAGGCAGCAGUGAGGAAUCUUGCGCAAUGGGGGAAACCCUGACGCAGCAACGCCGCGUGGAGGAUGAAGGUCUUCGGAUUGUAAACUCCUGUCAGAGGGGACGAAUGCUUGCGGGCUAAUCACCGCAAGUUUGACGGUACCCUCAGAGGAAGCCACGGCUAACUCUGUGCCAGCAGCCGCGGUAAUACAGAGGUGACGAGCGUUAUUCGGAAUUAUUGGGCGUAAAGGGCGCGUAGGCGGCUAGACAAGUCUCGGGUGAAAUCCCUCGGCUCAACCGGGGAACUGCCCUGGAAACUGUCUGGCUUGAGGCCGGGAGAGGGUAGUGGAAUUCCCAGUGUAGCGGUGAAAUGCGUAGAUACUGGGAGGAACACCGGUGGCGAAGGCGGCUACCUGGACCGGUUCUGACGCUGAUGCGCGAAAGCGUGGGUAGCAAACAGGAUUAGAUACCCUGGUAGUCCACGCUGUAAACGAUGGGUGCUCGGUGCUGGGGGUAUCGACCCCUCCGGUGCCUUAGCUAACGCGUUAAGCACCCCGCCUGGGGAGUACGGUCGC
rnacentral:rRNA from 1 species